rnacentral:rRNA from 1 species
GGACCCGCACAAGUAGUGGAGCAUGUGGUUUAAUUCGAAGCAACGCGCAGAACCUUACCAACCCUUGACAUCCUGUGCUACAUUCAGAGAUGAAUGGUUCCUUUCGGGGACGCAGUGACAGGUGCUGCAUGGCUGUCGUCAGCUCGUGUCGUGAGAUGUUCGGUUAAGUCCGGCAACGAGCGCAACCCACAUCCCUAGUUGCCAGCAGUUCGGCUGGGCACUCUAUGGAAACUGCCCGUGAUAAGCGGGAGGAAGGUGUGGAUGACGUCAAGUCCUCAUGGCCCUUACGGGUUGGGCUACACACGUGCUACAAUGGGGAAUACAGACGGA